GAUUGCAAUGAUGAUUAGUAACGUUCAAGCUCAACAGACCGGAUUGCACAAGGCUUCUGUACUUUAAGGGCUUAUGCAUGUCGAUUUUCUCUUUACCAAGCGAUC